rnacentral:rRNA from 1 species
UACGUAGGGUGCAAGCGUUGUCCGGAAUUAUUGGGCGUAAAGAGCUUGUAGGCGGUUGUCGCGUCUGCUGUGAAAUUUCGGGGCUCAACCCCGAACUUGCAGUGGGUACGGGCAGACUAGAGUGUGGUAGGGGAGACUGGAAUUCCUGGUGUAGCGGUGAAAUGCGCAGAUAUCAGGAGGAACACCGAUGGCGAAGGCAGGUCUCUGGGCCACUACUGACGCUGAGAAGCGAAAGCAUGGGGAGCGAACAGG